GAUGAACGCUGGCGGCAUGCCUAAUACAUGCAAGUCGAACGAGAGGAAGGAAAGCUUGCUUUUCUGAAUCUAGUGGCGAACGGGUGAGUAACACGUAGGUAACCUGCCCAUGUGCCCGGGAUAACUUCUGGAAACGGAUGCUAAAACCGGAUAGGUAGCAGACAAGCAUUUGACUGCUAUUAAAGUGGCUAAGGCCAUGAACAUGGAUGGACCUGCGGUGCAUUAGCUAGGUGGUGAGGUAACGGCCCACCAAGGCGACGAUGCAUAGCCGGCCUGAGAGGGGGGACGGCCACAUUGGGACUGAGACACGGCCCAAACUCCUACGGGAGGCAGCAGUAGGGAAUUUUCGUCAAUGGGGGGAACCCUGAACGAGCAAUGCCGCGUGAGUGAGGAAGGUCUUCGGAUCGUAAAGCUCUGUUGUAAGAGAAAAACGACAUUCAUAGGGAAUGAUGAGUGAGUGAUGGUAUCUUACCAGAAAGUCACGGCUAACUACGUGCCAGCAGCCGCCGUAACAC
rnacentral:rRNA from 1 species